GCGAAAGGUGCUUGCACCUUUCAAGUGAGUGGCGAACGGGUGAGUAACACGUGGACAACCUGCCUCAAGGCUGGGGAUAACAUUUGGAAACAGAUGCUAAUACCGAAUAAAACUUAGUGUCGCAUGACACAAAGUUAAAAGGCGCUUCGGCGUCACCUAGAGAUGGAUCCGCGGUGCAUUAGUUAGUUGGUGGGGUAAAGGCCUACCAAGACAAUGAUGCAUAGCCGAGUUGAGAGACUGAUCGGCCACAUUGGGACUGAGACACGGCCCAAACUCCUACGGGAGGCUGCAGUAGGGAAUCUUCCACAAUGGGCGAAAGCCUGAUGGAGCAACGCCGCGUGUGUGAUGAAGGCUUUCGGGUCGUAAAGCACUGUUGUAUGGGAAGAACAGCUAGAAUAGGAAAUGAUUUUAGUUUGACGGUACCAUACCAGAAAGGGACGGCUAAAUACGUGCCAGCAGCCGCGGUAAUACGUAUGUCCCGAGCGUUAUCCGGAUUUAUUGGGCGUAAAGCGAGCGCAGACGGUUUAUUAAGUCUGAUGUGAAAGCCCGGAGCUCAACUCCGGAAUGGCAUUGGAAACUGGUUAACUUGAGUGCAGUAGAGGUAAGUGGAACUCCAUGUGUAGCGGUGGAAUGCGUAGAUAUAUGGAAGAACACCAGUGGCGAAGGCGGCUUACUGGACUGCAACUGACGUUGAGGCUCGAAAGUGUGGGUAGCAAACAGGAUUAGAUACCCUGGUAGUCCACACCGUAAACGAUGAACACUAGGUGUUAGGAGGUUUCCGCCUCUUAGUGCCGAAGCUAACGCAUUAAGUG
rnacentral:rRNA from 1 species